GCCAGUGUGGUGUAGUGGUUUGAGCAUUUGGAUUAUGACUCCAGAGACCAGAGUUUGAAUCCCCGCUCAGCCA